rnacentral:rRNA from 1 species
AUUGAACGCUGGCGGCAUGCCUUACACAUGCGAGUCGAACGGCAGCACGGGUGCUUGCACCUGGUGGCGAGUGGCGAACGGGUGAGUAAUACAUCGGAACAUGUCCUGUAGUGGGUGAUAGCCCGGCGAAAGCCGGAUUAAUACCGCAUACGAUCUACGGAUGAAAGCGGGGGACCUUCGGGCCUCGCGCUAUAGGGUUGGCCGAUGGCUGAUUAGCUAGUUGGUGGGGUAAAGGCCUACCAAGGCGACGAUCAGUAGCUGGUCUGAGAGGACGACCAGCCACACUGGGACUGAGACACGGCCCAGACUCCUACGGGAGGCAGCAGUGGGGAAUUUUGGACAAUGGGCGAAAGCCUGAUCCAGCAAUGCCGCGUGUGUGAAGAAGGCCUUCGGGUUGUAAAGCACUUUUGUCCGGAAAGAAAUCCUUGGCCCUAAUACGGUCGGGGGAUGACGGUACCGGAAGAAUAAGCACCGGCUAACUACGUG